rnacentral:lncRNA from 1 species
UGUCACGCCCCGCGACCAACCGCCUAUUUGAACCGGGCCGCGGAGCCGACAACAGACCGCCGAACGGACCGGGGAUUCCUUUGUACGCGGACAGAGUCUCCCCAGUACGUCCAAGGCGUCGCAAUCCAAACAAUAUAGAUAUGUUCCAACCAGGAACGGAUAUCAAUCAAGAUUGCAUAAGGAAGUAUCAAAUACAUAAACUACUAGCUUUUACAAGCAUUCAUUCACUUUUACAUCACAGUUCCUAUUUACAUUUUGUUUUUCCUUGUCUUCUAGUCCCCUAAGCUAGACUGCCUCAGGGUACUUCUACCUCGGUCUCUGUGGUGGGGCGCUAUCUACUGAGCUACGCCCUCGCCUCGCGCCGCUGCGCCGCACACGAACGACCUGAAAACCCCAAAACAACGUGGGGUGAGAACCAACUCCAUGGUUCCCAGUGGGUACGGCCACCCAAGGGAAAAGCUCGACCGAUAGGUCCGAGGAGGCACUGCAACAUGUUAGUUCAACAAUAUACAACAGAUAUAUAUAUUCAAUUGAAAUACAUGCCAUGCCUCACGAUAUGCGAUAUGAAAAUCAUGCAGCAACUAGUAGAUCAUUUGAAUUCUACUUUUACUUGGCUACUUUAGCUCAUAACUUUACUCUAAGGUUUCUAUUACCUUAGGAUUACAACACUAACCACUGGCUUCUAAGGUUUCUAUUACCUUAGCUCAAGCCUCUAUCUCUAGCUCAUAAGGGUUUCUCUACCCUAUCAUAGCUAACCACCCGACUCGGCUUCGAGUCAAUCAUCCGCGGAUAGCCCGCGCUCCGGCUGCUCAGUCAGCCUACCGCACUCACUCUGACUCAGCCUCCUAGCGGCGAAAUCGUCGCACACGCUGAAUACGGCUCGAGUCACAAGACUUGACCAUCGGUGGCGAUCGCGUUGCACAUACCCAGCGUGAGCUCGAGACAUGACAUACCGUCUGGCGGCGAACGGGUCGCACCACACCCAACAACGAUCAUGUCAGACUCAGUCACCUGGAGGCACCCGCAUCGUACUUACCCAGCAUGGAUUCAGUCUACUCUGGCGGUCUGAUCCUCAAAUGGCUUAACCACUCUGGCGGCGAAAUCGUCGCACAAACGCCAGCACAAUGGUUCAAGCCCCGGGCGGUGAUCUCCAUGUGAUCGCCCCCAAUCUACCCACGGUACCAAGCUCGGCGGCGAAAUCGUCGCACGAACGCCCUAGCCUGUACCAGGGACAUCAUAAGUCCUGGGAUUCCGGAAUCCACUUACCACAGGUCGAGGGUUCAUAGCCAACCCUAUACUGUCGACCUAGCUCAAUCUAGUGGCUAUACCACUAUACUCAUCAACCUAGGUUCCAACACUCUAGGUUCUAUGUCCACAUCACUUAACCUAGAUACACUUGCUAGGUUCUUAUCAUCUUUGCCUAGAUGUCCACUUCUAGGUUUAUUAGUUCAACCUAGGUUUACUAACACUAGGUUAGAUGCCACACACCUAGAUUGUUCAACUCUAGGUUUACUAACCAACCUAUGUUCUUUAACACUAGGUUAGAUGCCACUCGAUCUACCUGACAACUUAGUUGUCCAGUCAUCUCUACUCGUCCUAGAGUUAUCAUCUGGUUUAUAUACAUAUACCAUGCAUCAUGCUUUGUACUUAGCAAUUACUCUUUGCAUCAUUACUAACAUGCAUCCCUUACUUAGCAUCCUCAUCAU